GGGGUUGUGGCUCAGUGGUAGAGCGCUUGCCUAGCACUCGUGAGGCCCUGGGUUCAAUCCUAGCACCA
rnacentral:tRNA from 1 species